GAAGGCACCACCCCCACCCCCGCCGCGGCCACACCUGGGCUCUCCAGGCGGGCAUGGGGGCCCAGGCCGGCGCCUGGCUCCAGCGAGUCUGGGCCGCCUCCCCGUGGGGGCCGCCAGAUGGGCCGGCCGCCCGCCCGCCCAGCUACGCGGGCAGGAAACAGCCGCCAAGGCUGCCAGGAAGGCGGGCGCGAGCGGUGGGGCGGGGCCCACAGUGGGCCCGCCCCCCGAGGGGAGGGCCGGGAAGGCCGAGACCUUGUGAGCCUGGGAAUCCCGGCUCUGCCGCCUGCCAUGUUUCCUUAGGCAAGUCUGUUUCCGUCUCCGUGCCCCAGCUUCCCCAAUAGUAAAGAGAGAUCCCCUUCCGAGGAGAAGGAAGAGGCUGGCAGAGUGGGAAAGACUGAGGUAUAAGGAAAGGUGUCAUCUCCUGUAAUACCCAGACAGCCUCCAACCUCUUUGUCAUUUUAAGGCAGACCAGACUAUGGAAAUGAUGUUAGACAAAAAGCAAAUCUGAGCAAUUUUCUUACUUGAAUACAAAAUGGGUCGUAAAGCAGCAGAGACAAUUGGCAACAUCAACAACACAUCUGGCCCAGGAAUGCACAGUGCAAUGGUGAUUCAAGAAGUUUUGCAAAGGAGAUGAGAGGCUUGAAGAUGAGGAGUGCAGUGGCUGGCCAUCGGAAGGUGACAACAACCAAUUGAGAGCAGUCACUGAGGCUGAUCCUCUUACAACUACACCAAAAGUUGCCAAAGAACUCAGUGUCAGCUAUUCUACAGUUGUUCGGCAUUUAAAGUAAAUUGGAAAGGUGAAAAGGCUUGGUAAGUGGGUGCCUCAUGAGCUGACUGCAAAUCAAAAAUAUCGUCAUGUUGAAGUGUCAUCUUUUCUUAUUCUAUGCAACAACAACCAACCAUUUCUCAAUUGGGAUUGUGACCUGCAAUGAAAAGUGAACUGCAUACAACAACCAGCAAUGACCAGCUCAGUGGUUGGAGUGAGAAGAAGCUCCAAAGCACUUACCAAAGCCAAACUUGCGCCAAAAAAAGGUCAUGGUCACUGUUUGGUGGCCUGCUGCUGGUCUGAUCCACUGCAGCUUUCUGAAUCCUGGUGAAACCAUUAUAUCUGAGAAGUAUGCUCAGCAAAUCAGUGAAAUCACCAAAAACUGCAGCCGGUAUCAGUCAACAGAAAGGGCCUGACGAAAGGUCGCACAACCAAAAGUUGAAGGAAUCGGGCUACGAUGUUUCGCCUCAUCCGCCAUAUUCACCUGACCUCGGCCAACCAACUACUACUUCUUCAAUCAUCUUGACAACUUUUUGCAGGAAAAACACUUCCACAACCAGCAGGAUACAGAAAAUGCUUUCCAAGAGUUCGUUGAUUUCUGAAGCAUUGAUUUUUAUGCUACAGGAGUAAGCAAACUUAUUUCUAGUUGGCAAAAAUGUGUUGAUUGUAAAGGUUCCUGUUUUGAUUAAUAAAGAUGUGUUUGAGCCUAGUUAUAAUGACUUAAAAUUCGUUGUCCAUAACUGCAAUUAUUUUUGCACCACGUAAAUAUCAUUUUUGUUGUUCAGUCCCUAAGUUGUGUCCAACUCUUUGCGACCUCACUGACUGCAGUAUGCCAGGCUCUCCCAUCACCCACUCUCCUACAGUUUGCUCACAUUCAAGUCAGUGAUGCUGUCUAACCAUCUCAUCCUCUGCCAACCCCUUCUCUGUUUGCCUUUAGUCUUUACCAGCAUCUAAUGAGUUGACUCUUCACAUCCCAACUAAAGUAUUGAAGCUUCAGCUUCAGGUUGGCAAAGUACUGAAGCUUCAGCUUCAGCAUCAGUCCUUCCAAUGAACUAUCAUUUUAACCAGCCUUAAUACAUGAAAUACAUUAUUAUGAAAAAGCAAAUCAUGUAGAGGUACAUGUCAGAGAAAGAGGAAGGUCCACUUUCAACC
ensembl:lncRNA